ACCUGCAUUCAAAAGGGACCCUGGACUGCCCGUGUCCUGGUCAUCACCGAUGCAGGGAGGGCGAUUGCGGACAGCCAUUCCCGUGUUUGGAGGGUCAUUUGGAGUUGAUCUCGGGCACUGGAACAAGCAAGCA
rnacentral:snoRNA from 1 species